UACGGGGGGAGCAAGCGUUGUUCGGAUUUACUGGGCGUAAAGGGCGCGUAGGCGGCGCAACAAGUCACUUGUGAAAUCUCCGGGCUUAACCCGGAGCGGCCAAGUGAUACUGUCGUGCUAGAGUGCGGAAGGGGCUACUGGAAUUCUCGGUGUAGCGGUGAAAUGCGUAGAUAUCGAGAGGAACACCUGCGGCGAAGGCGGGUUGCUGGGCUGACACUGACGCUGAUGCGCGAAAGCUAGGGGAGCGAACGGG
rnacentral:rRNA from 1 species